AGCGAACGCUGGCGGCAUGCCUAACACAUGCAAGUCGAACGAUGCCUUCGGGCAUAGUGGCGCACGGGUGCGUAACGCGUGGGAAUCUGCCUUUCGGUUCGGAAUGACUCAGGGAAACUUGAGCUAAUACCGGAUAACGUCGCAAGACCAAAGAUUUAUCACCGAAAGAUGAGCCCGCGUAGGAUUAGCUAGUUGGUGAGGUAAAGGCUCACCAAGGCGACGAUUCUUAGCUGGUCUGAGAGGAUGAUCAGCCACACUGGGACUGAGACACGGCCCAGACUCCUACGGGAGGCAGCAGUGGGGAAUAUUGGACCAUGGGCGAAGGCCUGAUCCAGCAAGGCCGCGUGAGUGAUGAAGGCCUUAGGGUUGUAAAGCUCUUUUACCCGGGAAGAUAAUGACGGUACCGGGAGAAUAAGCCCCGGCUAACUCCGUG
rnacentral:rRNA from 1 species